rnacentral:rRNA from 1 species
UACGUAGGGUGCGAGCGUUGUCCGGAAUUACUGGGCGUAAAGAGCUCGUAGGUGGUUUGUCGCGUUGUUCGUGAAAACCGGGGGCUUAACCCUCGGCGUGCGGGCGAUACGGGCAGACUGGAGUACUGCAGGGGAGACUGGAAUUCCUGGUGUAGCGGUGGAACGCGCAGAUAUCAGGAGGAACACCGGUGGCGAAGGCGGGUCUCUGGGCAGUAACUGACGCUGAGGAGCGAAAGCGUGGGGAGCGAACAGG